UAGGGAAAUCUUCGGCAAUGGGGGCAACCCUGACCGAGCAACGCCGCGUGAGUGAAGAAGGUUUUCGGAUCGUAAAGCUCUGUUGUAAGUCAAGAACGAGUGUGAGAGUGGAAAGUUCACACUGUGACGGUAGCUUACCAGAAAGGGACGGCUAACUACGUGCCAGCAGCCGCGGUAAUACGUAGGUCCCGAGCGUUGUCCGGAUUUAUUGGGCGUAAAGCGAGCGCAGGCGGUUUGAUAAGUCUGAAGUUAAAGGCUGUGGCUCAACCAUAGUUCGCUUUGGAAACUGUCAAACUUGAGUGCAGAAGGGGAGAGUGGAAUUCCAUGUGUAGCGGUGAAAUGCGUAGAUAUAUGGAGGAACACCGGUGGCGAAAGCGGCUCUCUGGUCUGUAACUGACGCUGAGGCUCGAAAGCGUGGGGAGCGAACAGGAUUAGAUACCCUGGUAGUCCACGCCGUAAACGAUGAGUGCUAGGUGUUGGAUCCUUUCCGGGAUUCAGUGCCGCAGCUAACGCAUUAAGCACUCCGCCUGGGGAGUACGACCGCAAGGUUG
rnacentral:rRNA from 1 species